CCAAUGGCACUGCCCGGUAGCUAAAUGCGGAAGAGAUAAGUGCUGAAAGCAUCUAAGCACGAAACUUGCCCCGAGAUGAGUUCUCCCUGACUCCUUGAGAGUCCUGAAGGAACGUUGAAGACGACGACGUUGAUAGGCCGGGUGUGUAAGCGCAGCGAUGCGUUGAGCUAACCGGUACUAAUGAACCGUGAGGCUUAACCUUACAACGCCGAAGCUGUU
rnacentral:rRNA from 1 species